rnacentral:rRNA from 1 species
AGAGUUGAUUAUGGCUCAGAACGAACGCUGGCGGCAUGGAUUAGGCAUGCAAGUUGAACGAACUCCUUCGGGAGUGAGUAGCGGAAGGGUGAGGAACGCGUGAGUAAUCUGCCCCCCAGUUGGGAAUAACAGUUGGAAACGACUGCUAAUACCGAAUGUGGCUUAAGCUUCGCCUGGAGCUUUGGCUAAAGAUUUAUCGCUGGGGGAUGAGCUCGCGUCCCAUUAGGUAGUUGGUGAGGUAACGGCUCACCAAGCCGACGAUGGGUAGCUGGUCUGAGAGGAUGGUCAGCCACACUGGGACUGAGACACUGCCCAGACUCCUACGGGAGGCUGCAGUCGAGAAUCUUGGGCAAUGCGCGAAAGCGUGAACCCCAGCAAUGCCGCGUGUAUGAUGAAGGCCCUCGGGUCGUAAAGUACUGUCUCCCGUGACGAAAUUUGACGGUAGCGGGAAGGAAGCCACGGCUAACUACGUGCCAGCAGCGGC